UACGUAGGUGGCAAGCGUUGUCCGGAUUUACUGGGCGUAAAGAGCGCGCAGGCGGUCGUUCAAGUCGCGUGUGAAAGCCCCCGGCUCAACUGGGGAGGGUCACGCGAUACUGAUCGACUGGAAGGCAGGAGAGGGUAGUGGAAUUCCCGGUGUAGUGGUGAAAUGCGUAGAUAUCGGGAGGAACACCAGUGGCGAAGGCGACUACCUGGCCUGUUCUUGACGCUCAGGCGCGAAAGCUAGGGGAGCAAACAGG
rnacentral:rRNA from 1 species